AGUCGAGCGGAUGACGGGAGCUUGCUCCUUGAUUCAGCGGCGGACGGGUGAGUAAUGCCUAGGAAUCUGCCUGGUAGUGAGGGACAACGUUUCGAAAGGAACGCUAAUACCGCAUACGUCCUACGGGAGAAAGCAGGGGACCUUCGGGCCUUGCGCUAUCAGAUGAGCCUAGGUCGGAUUAGCUAGUUGGUGGGGUAAUGGCUCACCAAGGCGACGAUCCGUAACUGGUCUGAGAGGAUGAUCAGUCACACUGGAACUGAGACACGGUCCAGACUCCUACGGGAGGCAGCAGUGGGGAAUAUUGGACAAUGGGCGAAAGCCUGAUCCAGCCAUGCCGCGUGUGUGAAGAAGGUCUUCGGAUUGUAAAGCACUUUAAGUUGGGAGGAAGGGCAGUAAGCUAAUACCUUGCUGUUUUGACGUUACCGACAGAAUAAGCACCGGCUAACUCUGUGCCAGCAGCCGCGGUAAUACAGAGGGUGCAAGCGUUAAUCGGAAUUACUGGGCGUAAAGCGCGCGUAGGUGGUUUGUUAAGUUGGAUGUGAAAGCCCCGGGCUCAACCUGGGAACUGCAUCCAAAACUGGCAAGCUAGAGUACGGUAUAGGGUGGUGGAAUUUCCUGUGUAGCGGUGAAAUGCGUAGAUAUAGGAAGGAACACCAGUGGCGAAGGCGACCACCUGGACUGAUACUGACACUGAGGUGCGAAAGCGUGGGGAGCAGACCCGAUUAGAUACCCUGGUAGUCCACGCCGUACACGAUGUCAACUAGCCUUUGGAAUCCUUGAGAUUUUAGU
rnacentral:rRNA from 1 species